rnacentral:rRNA from 1 species
UACGAAGGGGGCUAGCGUUGCUCGGAAUCACUGGGCGUAAAGGGUGCGUAGGCGGGUCUUUAAGUCAGGGGUGAAAUCCUGGAGCUCAACUCCAGAACUGCCUUUGAUACUGGCGACCUUGAGUCCGGGAGAGGUGAGUGGAACUGCGAGUGUAGAGGUGAAAUUCGUAGAUAUUCGCAAGAACACCAGUGGCGAAGGCGGCUCGCUGGGCCGGUCUGACGCUGAGGUACG